rnacentral:rRNA from 1 species
CUGGCUCAGGACGAACGCUGGCGGCGUGGUUAAGACAUGCAAGUCGAACGAGAAGCUCCCUUCGGGGAGUGGAGAGUGGCGCACGGGUGAGUAACACGUGAGCAACCUGCCGGGAAGCCCGGGAUAGCCCUCCGAAAGGAGGAUUAAUACCGGAUGUGGCCACCCUGCGAUUGCAGUGGGAAGCUAAAGGAUUUAUUCACUUCCCGAGGGGCUCGCGGCCCAUCAGCUUGUUGGUGAGGGUAACGGCCCACCAAGGCGACAACGGGUAGCUGGUCUGAGAGGAUGGUCAGCCACACUGGAACUGAGACACGGUCCAGACACCUACGGGUGGCAGCAGUCGAGAAUCAUUCGCAAUGGGGGAAACCCUGACGAUGCGACGCCGCGUGGAGGAUGAAGGCCUUAGGGUUGUAAACUCCUGUCAAGAGGGAAUAAGCAAGUGAAGGUACCUCUAGAGGAAGGGGCGGCUAAUUCCGUGCCAGCAGCCGCGGUAACACGGAAGCCCCGAGCGUUGUUCGGAUUCAUUGGGCGUAAAGGGUGCGUAGGCGGCGCGGAAAGUCCGGCGUGAAAGGCAGGGGCUCAACCUCUGGACUGCGUUGGAUACUUCCGUGCUUGAGGACUGGAGGGGAGACUGGAAUUCACGGUGUAGCAGUGAAAUGCGUAGAUCUCGUGAGGAAGACCGGUGGCGAAGGCGAGUCUCUGGACAGAUCCUGACGCUGAGGCACGAAGGCUGGGGGAGCGAACAGGAUUAGAUACCCUGGUAGUCCCAGCAGUAAACGAUGUGAGCUUGAUGUGGGGGGAUUCGACCCCUUCCGUGUCGAAGCUAACGCGAUAAGCUCACCGCCUGAGGAGUACGGCCGCAAGGCUAAAACUCACACACCUUGACGGGGACCCGCACAAGCGGUGGAGUAUGUGGCUUAAUUCGAUGCAACGCGAAGAACCU